rnacentral:tRNA from 2 species
GGGCAAGUACUCAAGUGGUCGAAGAGGCGGUCCUGCUAAGACUGUAGGGGGAUGUAAAGUUCUCGCGGAAGUUCAAAUCUUCUCUUGCCCGCCA